rnacentral:misc_RNA from 1 species
GAAAAUUUCACAGCAUCAACCUUGUCUGAAGUUGGUGAGGAUGAUGAUCUUAGAGAAAGGGAUCUGGAUGCAAUGCGUGAUGAAGACGGUGAUAUAAUGAUGGUUGAUGCUUGAAGUUCAAAAGAGUAAUAUAUAGACAUGUAUAUAAUUAUCUUGGUACCUAGUCGAAGAACGUGGUAACUCGUGGAAAGCUUUCAAGAGUGGUAUUCAGCUGAAUCAGAUGCAGAAGCCAAAAGGCCCAGGUUAACUGUUGGAGUCUGCUUGGUGGCAAAUGCAUCAGUGUCCGUACUAGUAAAUAUGGGGAGUUGGUUGUUGCUAUUUCCCUUGUCAGCGGGAGGGGUGUUGGGAUUUAAUUUUCACUACGUCAAGUCUGUAGCGGUCAACUUUGAAGGAUUCCGUAUGUUGUACAACUAUAGGAGAUGAGAAAACUUAACAGUUGAGAGCAUCAAUUAAAU